UAGGGAAUCUUCGGCAAUGGGGGGAACCCUGACCGAGCAACGCCGCGUGAGUGAAGAAGGUUUUCGGAUCGUAAAGCUCUGUUGUUAAGGAAGAACGAGUGUGAGAAUGGAAAGUUCAUACUGUGACGGUACUUAACCAGAAAGGGACGGCUAACUACGUGCCAGCAGCCGCGGUAAUACGUAGGUCCCGAGCGUUGUCCGGAUUUAUUGGGCGUAAAGCGAGCGCAGGCGGUUAGGUAAGUCUGAAGUUAAAGGCAGUGGCUCAACCAUUGUAGGCUUUGGAAACUGUUUAACAGGAGUGCAGAAGGGGAGAGUGGAAUUCCAUGUGUAGCGGUGAAAUGCGUAGAUAUAUGGAGGAACACCGGUGGCGAAAGCGGCUCUCUGGUCUGUAACUGACGCUGAGGCUCGAAAGCGUGGGGAGCGAACAGG
rnacentral:rRNA from 1 species